AGCAGCCGCGGUAAUUCCAGCUCCAAUAGCGUAUAUUAAAGUUGUUGCAGUUAAAAAGCUCGUAGUUGAAUUUCGGGGUCAGCAAGUUGGUCGUGCCACUGGUAUGCACUGGCUUUGCUGAUUCCUCCUUCUUGAAGAACUGUAAUGCUAUUAAUUUAGUGUUGCAGGGAAACAGGACUGUUACUUUGAAAAAUUAGAGUGUUUAAAGCAGGCUAACGCUUGAAUACAUUAGCAUGGAAUAAUGAAAUAGGACGUUUAAUCCUAUUUUGUUGGUUUCUAGGAUUGACGUAAUGAUUAAUAGGGA
rnacentral:rRNA from 1 species